GACAGAGGGUGCAAACGUUGUUCGGAAUCACUGGGCAUAAAGCGCACGUAGGCGGCCGACUAAGUCAGGUGUGAAAUCCCCCGGCUCAACCGGGGAACUGCAUUUGAUACUGGUUGGCUCGAGGUUGGUAGGGGUGGAUGGAACUCCAGGUGGAGCGGUGAAAUGCGUAGAUAUCUGGAGGAACACCGGAGGCGAAAGCGAUCCACUGGGCCAAAUCUGACGCUGAGGUGCGAAAGCUAGGGUAGCAAACGGGAUUAGAAACCCCCGUAGUCC
rnacentral:rRNA from 1 species